CUUGGUCAUUUAGAGGAAGUAAAAGUCGUAACAAGGUUUCCGUAGGUGAACCUGCGGAAGGAUCAUUAAUGAAUUUUUAGGGCGCUCUUUUUAGAGGUCCGACCAAUUUCAUUUCCACACACCGUGAACACACUUCAUUUUUACACACAAUUUAUAAACACACAAGUCUAUAAGAAUGUAUAAAGUCUCUUAAUUGAGCAUAAAGUUAUAAUACAACUUUCGGCAACGGAUCUCUUGGCUCUCGCAUCGAUGAAGAACGCAGCGAAAUGCGAUACGUAAUGUGAAUUGCAGAAUUCAGUGAAUCAUCGAAUCUUUGAACGCACCUUGCACUCUUUGGUAUUCCGAAGGGCAUGCCUGUUCGAGCGUCAUGGUCAAACCUCAAGCCUAGCUUGGUAUUGGGUUGUCGCCUUGCCUGCCUGUGUACAGGUAGUGGCGUGCCUGAAAGUCAGUGGCAGUGCCUAAAUAGACUCAAGCGUAGCAGACUGGACUCGCUUUGGAGAAUCUUUGUAGGCUCUGUUGACAAAUUAUAAAUCAUGUUUGGACCUCGGAUCAGGUAGGGAUACCCGCUGAACUUAAGCAUAUCAAUAAGCGGAGGA
rnacentral:rRNA from 1 species